GGAGCGUAGGAGCCGGCAGGCGUGGGAGGGAGUGGCCCCUGCUCCUUUUUGGUUUCUUGGUUAACUGUCCGGCUGUCACCCCGCGCGCCAUCUUAAACAACCCUAUUCUGGAAACAUCUGUUCAGCAGCUGCGGUGUGUAUCUCAGGGCCUCCUCCACCUUCAAUGGGGGCUUCAGUGAAGCCAUCGCACAGCCCCAUCAACAGAUAGGAGACAGGCCCAGAGAGGUGGAGCCCCUGCCUGAGGACACACAGCGGCAUGUGUCCUGCUCACUGCCUGUCCUCACCUGUCCACCUGCUGACAAGACCAGUCACAGAGGAAAGAGCACAGAGUUCUAGGGCUUGAAGUCUGCAAGGGGCCAAGGCCAGGGACUGCUUGAUCUUCACAUGGCAUGCAGAGGAGAAGGCACAGAGUGACGC